UACGGAGGGGGCUAGCGUUGUUCGGAAUUACUGGGCGUAAAGCGCACGUAGGCGGCUUUGUAAGUCAGAGGUGAAAGCCCGGAGCUUAACUCCGGAAUUGCCUUUGAGACUGCAUCGCUUGAAUCCGGGAGAGGUGAGUGGAAUUCCGAGUGUAGAGGUGAAAUUCGUAGAUAUUCGGAAGAACACCAGUGGCGAAGGCGGCUCACUGGACCGGUAUUGACGCUGGAGGUGCGAAAGCGUGGGGAGCAAACAGG
rnacentral:rRNA from 1 species